rnacentral:misc_RNA from 1 species
GAUGAAGAACGUAGCGAAAUGCGAUACGUAAUGUGAAUUGCAGAAUUCAGUGAAUCAUCGAGUCUUUGAACGCACAUUGCGCCCCCUGGUAUUCCGGGGGGCAUGCCUGUCCGAGCGUCAUUGCUGCCCUCAAGCACGGCUUGGUGUUGGGCCCCGCCGCCCCGGCGGGCCCUAAAGUCAGUGGCGGUGCCGUCCGGCUCCGAGCGUAGUAAUUCUUCUCGCUCUGGAGGUCCGGUCGUGUGCUCGCCAGCAACCCCCAAUUUUUUUCAGGUUGACCUCGGAUCAGGUAGGGAUACCCGCUGAACUUAAGCAUAUCAAUAAGCGGAGGA